rnacentral:rRNA from 1 species
GACGAACGCUGGCGGCGUGCUUAACACAUGCAAGUCGAACGAAGAGCGAUGGAAGCUUGCUUCUAUCAAUCUUAGUGGCGAACGGGUGAGUAACGCGUAAUCAACCUGCCCUUCAGAGGGGGACAACAGUUGGAAACGACUGCUAAUACCGCAUACGAUCUAAUCUCGGCAUCGAGGAUAGAUGAAAGGUGGCCUCUACAUGUAAGCUAUCACUGAAGGAGGGGAUUGCGUCUGAUUAGCUAGUUGGAGGGGUAACGGCCCACCAAGGCGAUGAUCAGUAGCCGGUCUGAGAGGAUGAACGGCCACAUCGGGACUGAGACACGGCCCAGACUCCUACGGGAGGCAGCAGUGGGGAAUCUUCCGCAAUGGACGAAAGUCUGACGGAGCAACGCCGCGUGAGCGAUGACGGCCUUCGGGUUGUAAAGCUCUGUUAAUCGGGACGAAAGGCCUUCUUGCGAAUAGUGAGAAGGAUUGACGGUACCGGAAUAGAAAGCCACGGCUAACUACGUG